UUCAAAUUACAUAUAAAAUGGUAUAGUGUUUGCAUGUAAUAUCACAACCUUCCUGUAUAGUUUAUAUCAUCUCUAGAUGAAUGGUAAUGCCCAAUACAAUGAAAAUACUAUGAAGUUUUUACCUUGUACUAUUUAGGUAAGAGUGGCAAGAAAAAAAGAUCCCUAUGUGCAUCUGAUACAUAUACAUUUUUAUCGCAUAUUUUCUAAUUGUGGUCGGUUGACUUCAUGGACCCAGAACUUGAAGAUUUGGCUGGAUUUCCCACUCUAAAAUAUUUUUACUGUUGCUUUUUUUUAUUUACCAUGGUUGUUUUGUUUAUAAUUUUAUUUCAGAGAGAGUGUCCCAUGUAGAUUAGGUAAGCCUCAAUUUGAGACCCUGCUACCGUGCCACAUAGCAUCUCUUGUGCUGAUGUGUGCACUAUCACAUCCGGUUUGCAUAUGUCCAGUAGCUCUUGAGAGCCUACAAACUGUAUAAAGAGGGGCCUUGAACAACUAAUAGUCAAGAACAGCCUGACCCCCUGCAGACAGUCAAACCAGUUCCCUGGCAAGCAGGGCCCAUCUUUUUUAGAGUCAGGAUUCUCUCUAGGAAUUAAUCACAAGAGAACAUUCAUUAAGACUUUUUCAGGGCAUUCACCCAGACAAAGUUAAAAGUUGAACAGCAGUGCCUGGCCCUUUAAUAUCCCUGCCUCUAGAACACAUUUCUCCAUCCUUGCAGAGGCUGUAACUGUAUUUUGUGCAUUCACUGUUUAGCUAAUUUUCUCUGUGCUCAAUCUCUUGGGAUGCUGGAGGGGAAAUAAGGAGACAUGUGAUUCAGGUCUGCUUAUACAAAAGGCAAGACUGGAGAACAGGGGCCAGUAAUCAGAAUUAUCCAAUUUAAUGCCUGACUUGUUUAUCCUACAGAAAACAUCACCUGUGAUGCCUCCAUUGAUCCCUUCAGAAUAUAGCUUCUUUAUCCCAGGUUCCUGCAGAUUGUGAAGUUAAAUGAAGAGUUUAGCAGAAAAGCAGAAGAAUUAAAAGGAAAAGCAACCCCAAGAGGCACACACAUGAGUAAUGAACAAAGUGGGCCCAGGUUCCUUUAUGCCUCUGGUCACGGCCACCCUGGUGUUGGCGUGAAAAGGACAGUCAGUAGCAAGAUACGGGAGGGACUCAGACACAAGUGUAAGAGGCCGAAAGCAGAAGAAAGAAACCUUCCAGAAACAACUACACCUUCACCAUGAAGCACACACAGUCCAUGAAAAGCAGGCUUUGUCUGAGACUGAAAACCAAGUUCAGAGAAGCAUUUUCCUUUUCUUCAGGGAGCAAUGAAUAAACCCUCCUCACCCCAUGCCCAGGAGGGUAGUAGCGGGUAACUCAACUCUACAGAUGUUGAAUGAUCCAGGUAACCUCAAAGAACCUGUAUCUGUACCUACAAAUGGGAACUACUGGAUUCUAACCAUCAAUUCAUCAAAGCCAUAUAGUAGAUUACAAGCCAUGAAAUUAUUUCCCCCCAAACAUGAGUAAUCAUAUAUGCAUUGAUGCACCAUGGCAACCACUGUGAUGCAUUUAGGCACUUUGUCAUUGUGAACUCAGUAAGUCUGACAUCGGAAUUCAGCUCAGCUCUUACUGUAAAUAAUAAUUAUUAAUCUUUACACCAUUCCUCUUCAAAUGACAAAGAACACACUGUGAGUUCUAACCCCUCAAAGUACAAAGGACAUGGCAGAAGGCAAAGGAGAGCCCUUUUACCUUCAUGUAAUCGGUAUGGAUGCAUUUCAAAGAGUAUGGCUAGGUCACCACAGAAUAACUGGAACAUGUGAGCUCUGACUACCUCAUAUGGGGCAAUAGUGAUGUAUCAGCAGCAGGAAAACAAUGGAGAUUCUUCAUCAAUCCCCAUCAAAACGAUGGAUCAGGAACAGUUGGGAUAGAUGAUCUCCACCCCUUUCCAAAAGAUGACCUACCCAACAUAUCCUAAGACAGCAAUUCACCAAUCACAGCAAUUCAUAGAUCCAUCAAAGACUAAUUCAACAUAAAAUGCUGCUGGGACACGACCUGAGAGACUAUUGAAGGCUAGCAGAGAGAAAACAAACCGUCCAAGGUUCCAUUUAAUUUGAAUGUUGGCACAUGCCAUUAGUUGAACUCCAGCACAUUCCUGCCAUCUCCAGUACCCAGUGGCGUCGAUACUGAAGAGCUGUCUCUCCCGGUCUGAUGUGUAACUGCUCAAGGAGUACCUGAGUUCACCAUUAGAGCCCUCGUCCGGGUCAGAGGCAUUUAACUUCACUACCAAGGUGCCUGGAGGGGCGUCCUCC